rnacentral:rRNA from 1 species
UUCCAGACUCCUACGGGAGGCAGCAGUGAGGAAUAUUGGUCAAUGGGCUUACGCCUGAACCAGCCAAGUCGCGUGAGGGAAGACUGCCCUAUGGGUUGUAAACCUCUUUUGUCAGGGAGCAACGCCGGCUACGCGUAGCCGGACUGAGAGUACCUGAAGAAAAAGCACCGGCUAACUACGUGCCAGCAGCCGCGGUAAUACGUAGGGUGCGAGCGUUAAUCGGAAUUACUGGGCGUAAAGGGUGUGCAGGCGGCUGAGUAAGACAGAUGUGAAAUCCCCGGGCUUAACCUGGGAACCGCAUAUGUGACUGCUUGGCUAGAGUGCGUCAGAGGGAGGUGGAAUUCCACGUGUAGCAGUGAAAUGCGUAGAUAUGUGGAAGAACACCGAUGGCGAAGGCAGCCUCCUGGGACGCAACUGACGCUCAUACACGAAAGCGUGGGGAGCAACCAGGAUUAGAUCCCCGAGUAUA